rnacentral:rRNA from 1 species
GACAGAGGGUGCAAACGUUGUUCGGAAUUACUGGGCGUAAAGCGCGUGUAGGCUGCUGCGCAAGUCGGGUGUGAAAGCCCAGGGCUCAACCCUGGAAGUGCACUCGAAACUGCGUAGCUAGAGUCUCGGAGAGGGAGGCGGAAUUCUGGGUGUAGAGGUGAAAUUCGUAGAUAUCCAGAGGAACACCGGUGGCGAAGGCGGCCUCCUGGACGAGUACUGACGCUGAGACGCGAAAGCGUGGGGAGCAAACAGG